rnacentral:rRNA from 1 species
GGGGGUACGAGAGGGCCGCUACCACGCGAGUGGAUGCCAAUACCCUAAAACCCCUCUCAGUUCGGACUGGAGUCUGCAACCCGACUCCACGAAGCUGGAUUCGCUAGUAAUCGCGCAUCAGCCACGGCGCGGUGAAUACGUUCCCGGGCCUUGUACACACCGCCCGUCAAGCCAUGGGAGCCGGGGGUACCUGAAGUGCGUAACCGCGAGGAUCGCCCUAGGGUAAAACUGGUGACUGGGGCUAAGUCGUAACAAGGUAUC